rnacentral:rRNA from 1 species
CACGUAGGGGGCGAGCGUUGUCCGGAUUUAUUGGGCGUAAAGAGCUCGUAGGCGGCUCAGUAAGUCAGGUGUGAAAACUCCAGGCUCAACCUGGAGACGCCACCUGAUACUGCUGUGGCUAGAGUCCGGUAGGGGAGCAUGGAAUUCCUGGUGUAGCGGUGAAAUGCGCAGAUAUCAGGAGGAACACCAGUGGCGAAGGCGGUGCUCUGGGCCGGAACUGACGCUGGAGGAAGCGAAAGCGUGGGGAGCAAACAGG